rnacentral:lncRNA from 1 species
CCUCAUGGAGCGGGGGUGUUGGGGUGGGGGCAGCCCCUGGCUGUGGCUCGAGCAGGGCCAGUGCUUCACCUUUCAGGGACACUUUGGAGAGGAAGCUUGGGCUGGUGGUGUCUGAGGAGGGAAGCUGCUGCUUACACGGCCCACAGAUUGAACACACCCGGGUUGUAAAGGGCAGUGCUGGUGGCCUUCAUGAUGCCACUUGAAGGCCAAAUGGUGUGCUUACUUCUAUGUCUGACUGUGGGCGAAGCCCAUUCAUAAAUGUCGCUCUUGGCACACCGUGGCCCGUGCAUGCGUGCUGCUGGAUGGCAGCUUUUCUAGCAGUGGUGUUUUUGGUAAAAACUUGUUGUGAGAGGUCUGUGCCUCCUGCCUUUUGUCCUUCAGGUUGCACACUAAGCUCUCAUUCAUUGUCACAGACCAGGUGUUUUGGUGUCACUGACCCCCGAGCCCAGACAUGUGGGCCAGACCCCAGGGAGCCAGUCAAGCACGAUGGAUGGAAGCACAUUCUGUGGCUCUCAGAGCAUGUGGUUCUCUUCUGCAGUGGAGACGGACCAGUUCUCCUGGGCCCUGCCGUGAUAAUAGCCGACGCGGUCACGCUGCAUGACAUCGGAUGCUGACGGAGAUCUGCCCGAAGGCCCCGGGGCUUCUGACGUGUGGAUGACAGCUCGCGUCGGUCAGGGUGCUGGUGUCACCGCGUCAGCUUUGGGUUGCCGAGUGCCAGGGGUCUUCUGCUCUCUGUUUCUGCCACAGCAACGUGAUAAGUGCGGUUCCGUGUGCAGAGAUAAGGGACCAUACUCGAUAAGGCUUCCACUGCCAUUGGUGCUCUAAUCGGACCACUAGUAAACAGCAGCUGACUGAUGAGUUUCCGGUACUUUCUCCUUCCCUCUGACGAGAGCCAGGCGGCUCUUCAGGGGACAGCAAGCAGCCAGGCGCCGUGGGCGGUGGGGUCUCCAUGGCCUGAAGCACAGAGCACAGCUUUCACAGCCACUAGAAUUUCUGUACUGAGGGUUCCCCUAUAACCCACAGUGGCUCCCCAAAUUGUUCAGAGAUGGGCCAGGGCUUCAAGGACAUGAAACGGGAAAAACCAAACACACCCAAAGUAGCACUGGUAACUUAGGAUGGAAAUAAUAUUUUAGUAUAUUUCUAAGAAAUUGGCAUAAAUUUUAGAACUUGUGGAAUCAAUUCAUAAUUAAUAAUUAACUGAUAUUUUACAUUAAUUUCAGUUAUUCAUUCCUUAUCAAUGAUUAAUGACAUUAAAUAAUUAUUAAAUUAUUUUGAUGACAUUAAAAUCAAUUUAAUGAUGACUUUAAUAUUAAAGUUUAGAAUUAAUACUUCAGAAAUAAGUUAGUAGAAAUGUAGAAACUUGGCUUGAAUUUUAGGAAUUAUAAAGGUUUUGUACUAGAUGAACUAUGUUUUUUAGUUAAAAUGUUUAGUCUUAGCUGGACUGUCUUUGUUCCCAGCAGAAAUUUUAGACGUUUUGGGGUGUUUUUUUUUUCUUGUCUGAUUCACAUGGCCCCUUUCAUCAGACAAAGAAUUUUUCAGACCUGAUUGAAUCAUAGUCAUUCUUUGAAUAUCAAGAAAGGAGAAAACAACAAGACUCCGUAUUGUUAGGAUGUCAGCUCUUCUCAGCUUGAUCCGCAGAUUGAACUCAAUCCCAAUCAAAACCCCAGCGUGUUAUUUUGUGCAAUCAACAAACUGAUUUUAAAGUUGACAUAAAAAAAAAAAAAUAAAGUUGACAUAGAGGCGAAAGAGCAGAAUAACCGACAGUGUUAAAGAACAAAGUCGGAGGGCUGGCGCUGCCAGACUUACUAGGUAUUACACAGUCUGAAUUGUUAUCUUUUUAGUAGUGAUUUCAAAAUCUCAUACCCAUGCGAUGGGAUCCUUACCGCCAUCAACUCUAUGGUUGUCUGGAGGUGAAAUGCAUUUAUGUGUGUAGCUACAUGUGAUUAGCGUGUGUCUAAUUCUAUACUCAAGUUCCAUUUGAAAAGUAUGAGUUUUAAGACCAAAACCCCACUCCUGGCACAUCUGGGAGCACACAUCUAUCCUGAGAAGUGAAGUGUUCUUUACAAAGCAGUCAUGAGAUGCAAUUGACCUUGGUCUCGAGACUUGGCCUUUGGUUUUGAAAGCCCUGCUGUCCGAAUGUUGGGGAGAACGGAUGGUAUAGUGCCUCAUUGCCUUCCAGGGAUGGGGCUCCGUGCUCAGGCCCCUGCUUCCUGGCCCUGCUUCUGCUGCUGGCAGGUGCACCCCAGGGGCGGCCACCGUCUCUCCAGGUUCAGACACCACUUGUACAAAUGAGGGCUCACCAGGGAGCCAAAGGCCCCAUCCUGAUCUCUGCUUCUGUGUGUGAAUAUUUACAGAUGGCCUAGGUUCACUUACACUUAUUUUCUUCCCCCUCACGUGCCCCUUCCGUGUUUCCUUUCAGAGGGUUGGACACCCAAGUACAAAACUCUGCACUCUCCCGUCUGUUUGCACAUAGGUAGACAAAUAGUAAAGUCCCUACGCAGCCAUGUAGAAAAGUGGUCAGCACACAUGUCUUAAUUUUACUAAUCACUGCAGAGCAGUUCAGAGGGCAUGACGCACACCCUGGCUAUGGAGAAUGUCAGCAAAGUGGGAGGAGGUACAAGCAGCCGGAGGACUGUGCAGCCCCGGGUGGGAGGUAUGGAGAAAGGCCAGAAGCCCGAUGCCUCCACCACCAAGUCCUGAACUGGGGUCAAGAGAAGUGGGUCGUGUGUUCUCCUGGAACUUGUCCUGUGGGGCCUUCAUCUUGAUGGAGAAAUGACUGGAACCUUCUCUCCAGGAUUAGUGAAGGUCAGAAGAAGGGUGUGUGGAGGCACCCGCUGGCCCCCAACAUGGAUGCUGCUAAUAGUGCUCAGAUGGACGGAUGGACGGGCCCUGUCUCCCAUUUGAAAACUAGCAGAGCAAAGGGGUCUUUCCUUAGACUUUUAUUUGGGGCCCUUUUUAGCCUCUGGUUGAAUCGUAGUCUUUCCAGGGAUGGCCGUGGCUGUGGAGUCUCACCCCUCUGGGCCCGUGUCUUCAUUUGAAUCAUCACUGGGUGAACUCAAAGCCAGAACCUGCGGGAUCAAAGUGGCAGGAAAUGUCCCACCGGAGCCUCGAGGCAGACGCGGCAGCACCGUGCCUGGGGAAGGCGUUUGAGUCAUUGCCUGGCCUUUAUGUUGUUGUUCCUGGAACAGAAACAGAUACACGCUACCCAGCGUACCUGUGUGCCAGGACUUUCAAGCAUCACUUUCUGUCAGCUGUGGCACGUUUAAACACCCCAAAUAUUUCAGGAGACAGUUAACUUGUGUGUUUUAAUAAAGACGUGCGUGUUGGG